GUUUUCUUUUUCUAAUAUUAUUGAUUGUAAUGUAACAGGAUACUAUGACUUCAUUCAAAAUGGCGUCAACAUCCUCAUCUUGCAAUAUUGGCUUCGAUCGUCUACCAUGCCAAUGAGUGUUGAAGAAGAUUUGGAUCAUGUUGAUCAACUUGAAGAAAGUAAAAUAAAAUUGACAAGAUUACCUUAGACAACAACAGUAGCACGACUUUCAAAUCCAAUAUGGAAAUAUAGAUUUUUGAAGAUCUCGUGCAUUUCAGCACUAUAUCUUGGCGAUGGGCUUCUAGUUUUAGGCUUCAACACUACAUCUUGGCAUUGUGGUCGGAAUGUCUGGUUUGGAUUCUUGUUUGGCACUAUAUCUUUUAUUUUUGUAUUGCUUUAACUAUGAAUGAAUGCAUAUUGAUAUUUCAGCUGAAUUGUGCAGCUAUGCGGUGAAUGAAUGAAUGAAUGCAUGGUGAUGUUUUUGCUGUACUGGAGUAAGUGAGUGAAUGAAUGAAUGAAUGAAUGCGGUACUGAAUUGUUAAUUUGUUUUGUUGUGUAGCUCUAACUAUGAGUGAAUGCAUGGUGAUGUUUUUGUUGGUGUUAUCUUUAUUUGCUAGAAUUUUUGUUCAUGAAUUGGUGUUAGCCUUUGUUGGUGUUAA